UAGGGAAUCUUCGGCAAUGGGGGCAACCCUGACCGAGCAACGCCGCGUGAGUGAAGAAGGUUUUCGGAUCGUAAAGCUCUGUUGUAAGAGAAGAACGUGUGUGAGAGUGGAAAGUUCACACAGUGACGGUAACUUACCAGAAAGGGACGGCUAACUACGUGCCAGCAGCCGCGGUAAUACGUAGGUCCCGAGCGUUGUCCGGAUUUAUUGGGCGUAAAGCGAGCGCAGGCGGUUUAAUAAGUCUGAAGUUAAAGGCAGUGGCUUAACCAUUGUUCGCUUUGGAAACUGUUAAACUUGAGUGCAGAAGGGGAGAGUGGAAUUCCAUGUGUAGCGGUGAAAUGCGUAGAUAUAUGGAGGAACACCGGUGGCGAAAGCGGCUCUCUGGUCUGUAACUGACGCUGAGGCUGGAAAGCGUGGGGAGCAAACAGG
rnacentral:rRNA from 1 species